ACAGAGGUCCCGAGCGUUGUUCGGAUUCACUGGGCGUAAAGGGUGCGCAGGUGGGUUUGCAAGUUUGAUGUGAAAGCCCCGGGCUUAGCCCGGGAAUGGCAUUGAAUACUGCAGAUCUGGAGGAUUGGAGGGGGGACUGGAAUUCUUGGUGUAGCAGUGAAAUGCGUAGAUAUCAAGAGGAACACCAGUGGCGAAGGCGAGUCCCUGGACAAUACCUGACACUGAGGCACGAAAGCCAAGGGAGCAAACAGGA
rnacentral:rRNA from 1 species